rnacentral:tRNA from 1 species
GGUGACAUAGCUCAGUUGGUAGAGUACUUGCCUAACACACAUGAAGCUCUAGGUUUCAUCCCUAGCACCA